rnacentral:lncRNA from 10 species
CUCAAGGGGAAUGGUUUCAGCUUUUGCCCAUUCAGUAUGAUGUUGGCUGUGGGUUUGUCAUAGAUGGCUCUUAAUAUUCUAAGGUCUGCUCCUUCUAUGCCUAGUCUGCUGAGAGUCAUCAUAAAGAGAUGUUGGAUUUUAUAGAAGGCUUUGUCUGUGUCUGUUGAGAUGAUCCUGUGAUUUUUGUUUUUGAUUCUGUUUAUGUGGUGAAACCCGUUUAUUGAUUUUCAUGUGUUAAAUCAACCUUGCAUUUUAGAAGUAAACUCUACUUGAUCUUGGUGAAUUAACUUUUUGAUGUGCUGCUGGAUUCAGCUUGCUAGUAUUUUAUUUUUCUAGUUGUCUUUGCAAAAGCGUUAACAGGCUCUGACUUCUGACAUUCAACUAGAUGUGGAAUAUCCAACCCCUAG